rnacentral:lncRNA from 1 species
UGGGCUGCCAUGGUUAAACGUGGUCUGCAGUUGUGAGGCCGGUUGGACGUACUGCCACAUUCUCUAAAACGACGUUGGAUGCGGCUUAUGCCCUGUCUGCUCUGGUACCUGUCUCCAGUCCCUCGUCUCCUCAGUCCUGCUUCGCUGCCCUGGAUCCCCGCUCUACUGCUUCAUUGGAUUCCACUCCAGACCUGCUUACCCGGUUCCUAAUCUCCUUGCCCUCAGCCUCAGUCUGGAUUCCCUACUACCAGCCCAAAAUUUCCCUGGACUGCACCACAUCUCCUCUCCCGCUUUUCAAUAAAUACAUUGGUUACCUAUCCUUGUCUCCUCAUCUGAGUCUGCAUUUGGGUUCAUCUGCUCCGCCCUGGGCAACAGUAUUUGGUUC